rnacentral:piRNA from 1 species
UAUGUGUAUAAAUCGAGGAAGUUGACUUUUUGAUUAAAUUUGAUUUUAUCAUUAUUUUUUAGAUUUGGAUACAGAGGAUAGAUCUUUUCUAUUAAUUUUCAAAAAUUGUUAUUAUUGAAUAUAAGAAUGUCAUCCUGUAUCGGAACAACCACCAGUUAACUUUGUUAAGAGAGAAGAAUUCCCUCUCAUACCAAAAUAACAGGAGGUUGGCCAAUAAUGGACUAGAUGACGUACCCAUUGGUACUCCUUGUUUUUGAUUGUAAAUUUGAUUUUUAAUUUGGAUAUAAUUGAAUUUAAGGAAUGUUUCUAAAAGUAUUUUACUUUAUUCUCUAGUUAAUUACAAUGGUUUUGUUGCCAUUGUGAAUUAAGGGUAUAUUAAAUGUCUUGUCAAUUAAAAAUUCUGAAAAUAGAUCAAUAAUUUUGAGUUAAAGAUCCUCCAACUCGAGUUUAGAGAAGAGGUCUUCAAAAUCAAAAGUAUAAACUGAUUUGAGUUUGAGAAGGUUUUUGUUAAUAAAAUUUAAUACAUUUUUUUAUUGGAGUCAAUAAAAUUGUAUUUUUCUUUAUUGCAGAUCUUUUUUGUCAAGAAUUUUAAGGCUGAAGCUAGUUGAAGGUCUAAUUUGCUAAAGUUAUAAGUCUGAAUUUGAGAGGAUUUUUAUGAAUUUUGGGUAUAAUAUAAAUAUAAGGUAUAAUGGAAGAUUUUUUGCUAUAAAUUUUCUUUAACGUCUAAUUACUUUUAUUUGAUUCGGAGUUAUAUUUGAUACACUGUAUUUAUCACUGUUGUAAAUUUCUUCCAUAAUUAAGUCGUGAUAUAAAUUUUUGCAGGUAAUUGAGAAGUUGUUGGAGCAUUUGAUGUGCUGAUUUCCAACGCUUUCGUCCCGAAAUCCAUGAAGGCUCUUUCGUUCUCAGGGAGUUCACGAAAUAUACUUCCUGCUAUAUAAAAUAAUAAAAGUUGCGAUUCAGAAUACAUUAUAUUUUUCUCUUGAAACAGUCACACAUAAAAAAAUAAAUAAAACAGGCAAUGAGAAUAGAUUGGGAGAAUAUACAUGAAUAUAACCUGUUUAAAAAAAAUAUUAUGAAAAGUUACUUAUCUUAGUUUGGUGCUUCAGUUGGAUGGGUGGAAAAUUCCUUACACUAAAAUCUUGAAAGACUACAGUUUGGCUGAUUUCUCAGGAGCCUGACUCCCCACUCUCCCUCUUCCCCCCCUAUCUUCUUUUUUUUUUUCCUUAUCGCCUUCCUCAAAAAGUGCACCAAAAAUUAUUUUAACAGAGUAAAGAAAAAAUUCUAUAAUAUUCCAAAUUAAAAAAAUAAAAAAUUUUGAAAAUGAAAAAUUAUAAUUAAAAGUUAUUAUUCAAAAUACUAUUUUAAUUGACGAAUAUUAUUAGAAAAUAUUAAAACAAAAUAGCUGCUUAUUUAUUUAAAAAAAAAAAAAGGAAAUUUAUUAUAAUAUUAUAAAUUAUAUACAUAAUUAGGAAUAAAAGGAGGUGAAGAGAUGAGCUGGUUUGACAAUGAAAGAAUGCUCGAAAUCCUCUUCUUUCUUGUCGAGGCAGCUUCAUCAUUGUCCACCAGCUUUCUAUUGGGUACUGUGGGUGAACUUUGUGGAGGCCCCAGGAGUGGCCUCUACACAUUUAUCAAUUGGAGUAAUAAUAUAAUCUUCUUGGAUAAUGUUGAUGUUUUCUUUUAAUGUUUGAGAGAGAAGUUUUUACAAUUUUUAGAGUAUUGUGGUAUUAUUCCUUGAUAUUUGUUUGAUAAUUUCCAAUUAAAGAAGGUAAAUUCAGGUAUCUUGUAUUUUAGGCUUGUUCUAAUUAAUGAAGAGAUUAAGAUCUUGGUUGAUGGAAUUAACCGUGUUGUUGUAAUUGUGGUUAAUUGGAGGUAUAAAUUUAUAGCCGUUGUUGAGUAUGACUUGUAAUUCUUUAUUUAAGAAUGUAAAGUCACUAGUUAGAAUAUGACCUUUAAAUUUAUGUUGGUCACUUAUAGUAUUGCAAUUAUUAGGCGUUACUGUAACUUCCUGGUACAGCCACUUGGGAAGUGACUCCAAGCGCUGCGGUCCUUCUGGAAGAGUUUUUCUGAGCAAUGUGUUUCUACUCUUUUGGGAAGAGCUUUAACUACUGAAAUUUUAUGAUGUACUGUGCCAAAAUAAUUGAAAUUUAAGUAAUUUCCUGUGUGGAUUGAUUUUCUAAAAAUUAUGCUCUCAAUUUGGUUAUGCUUUCUUUUAAGUUGGAUAUCUUAAAAUGCUAAAGAAUUAAUAUUUUCAUUUGUAAAUAAUUCAAAUCUUUUCAAAAGAUUUGAGAUAUCUGUUUCGGUUAUACAAAAAAUGUCAUCAAUAUAUCUUUAUCAUAACGUUUUAUGAUUUGAUCAAUUUGAUUCACGGAAAUGUUUGCUUAGGUGGAAAUAGGUUUGCCCAUUGGUAGACCUUUGAUUUGUCUGUGGAAUUGGUCUUUAAAGCUGAAAUAACUGUUCUAAACAAAGUUUAAUUAAGCCUCUGAAGAGAACUUUCAUCUAGAAAGUUUUAAAAUGGCUUUAUUAUAUGGAAUUGAUGUGUAGACUUAAUCAAAUGACACCAUAUAGCUGGAAAUUGACAGGUUUUUGAUUGUUUCUACAGCUACUGUCGUUGACACUGAUGUUCCUAUUAAUUUGGCACAUAUUGCAUGAAGGCCUUUAUGACAUCCAGUGCAAAUAGUUCGGGAUAUUUUUCGGUUUUGUGGAGUUCUGCACUUUGAGGCAAACUCUGGACUUGAAUCUGGCUGGUUGAAGGAUUGCAAGGUUCUUGAAUGUUUUCCACCAUGCGUACCCCUUGCUCUUGGUACGGUCCAACUUGUAGUAAAGCUGGGCCAUGGACACUCGAUAGAGAGCGUCGACACUAAAUUGUGCGUAGCGCACUGGUGACAGUAGUCCUUGGGUGGAGACUGCGUCGAAACCAAUGCCUAUGGUGGUGAUGGGCACAGCGUAUUCAGUUGGGGUCUGCUUUUCAGCGGCCGCCAACAGAGGAGGAGUUUAGAUGAAGAGCCUGCUCUCCAAUUCUUUCGUGAGAUCAGAUAUAAAUUCAGCAUUCUUCUUUUCACGAAGUUGGAGACUGCGCUGAGUGUGCUUCUCUUCAUUCUUUUUCUUCUGGGCCUGUGGAUGGAAGGCACUACUGGGGUUAUCACAUUUCUUGGGGGGAGGAUGUGAUGUAUUAUUUGGAAUAUUUAUGGUAAUGUCCUCAUAGUACAAAUAAUGAGGUGUGAUGUAUUAUUUGGAAUAUUUAUGGUAAUGUCCUCAUAGUACAAAUAUUGAGGUGUGAUGUAUUAUUUGGAAUAUUUAUGGUAAUGUCCUCAUAGUACAAAUAUUGAGGUCUGAUGUAUUAUUUGGAAUAUUUAUGGUAAUGUCCUCAGUACAAAUAUUGACAUCUGAUGUAUCAUUUCGAAUAUUUAUUGUAAUGUCCUCAUAGUACAAAUAUUUGAUUUAUAAAUGCUACGUCACCCCCCUCUUUAUUGGGGUUUAUUGUAGAGCUAUAAUUUGUAACUUGUGUUUGUCAGCUAUUUCCAUUAUUUAUUCUAAUUUUAUUUUUGUUGCCGUUGAGCACAUUCCAUUUAUGUUGCACUUCAAAAUGCUUAAUUGUUUGGAAGCUGCAAAGUUGUGUGGAGACUGUAUUAUACUUAUCGGACAGAACCCUCUACCAAUUAAUUGAAGGAAAGACUGUGAACACAUUGCCAAAAAUUGAGAUGAGGACGGUGGUGUUUUUUACAUUUGACAAGCUUCUUAUACACACACACAAGCCUUUUUAUUGGGGCAUCCAGCCCUAUUCAUGAUUCCCCUCUACAGGAUUUAGCAAAGGAAGAUAUUUCAAAAGUAAAAACUAGAAUACAAGAAGUAAUAAGGAAAAAGAAAAGAGAGAAGAAAGAAAAAAACAAACAAAAAGAAAUAUAACCAUAUAUACAAAAAAUAAACAUACAGAGCAAAAGGAACCAUACAUGAUUAAAUAUUUAAAAAAAGUACCAAUGUUUAGAAUAUGUCAAGGUUAGGAUAUCAUUGAGGGCUAGUGUGGAAUCAGCCGCAUUCAGUCUUCGUUUUCUUCCUCCAAGCAAACCAUGACAUUCGGUUAAUCCAUUAUUCUCCAAAGGAUAUCCUUCAACUAUUUUCCCUUCUAUUUGGUCGAGUAAAUUUUUGCAGUUGGUCAAAUAGUUUUCGUUUGGUGGCAAAGUAAGCAAAAAUCAUACACACUCGCAUUUCACCGUCCAACCUCAGACAGAUCAUAAUCCAUUGUUUUUCAAUUUCAGUCCUUUCAAUCUUGUCUUUUAUAGCUUCUCGCAUCCCAACAAUAAUUCCCCCCGAUGAUCUACCCUUCUUGUGGUCUCUCUGAGCAAGUGGUUCAUACAGAUGAAAUCCUGUUGGUUUGUUCUUCAGAUGUUGAUCCUUCCAUGUUCCUGUGAGUGCAAAAAUGCUGAACUUUUCUAAAUGUGUGAAUAGGUCGACUUGCAGCAACAUCCUUUCCAAUCCAUUAACAUUCCAACACAGCACUUGUGUGUCGUCUUUGAACGAAAAACAAGAUUGUUUAUUUACAGUAGUUUGCCCAUAAGUAUUUUUAUUUACAGAGGAUUGGGGAUUUGUCACUGGCUAUAAAGCAUUGUCGCCACUUUGGCUCAUUAUUCUACCAUUUGUAACGUAAUAGUCAAUCCCACCAACUAUGAGCCUGUUAUCCCGUAGUUUCGUGGCAAUGUUUCCGAACUCGUCGUUGUCCCUGCUUCCUUCCGUCCCUUGUUCCAUUUGUCCGCCUCGUCGAGGAAUUUCACCGCUUGUAGGAAGUCGGCCUCUUCUGGGUUCCGCAUGGUACUCCAUGAGGCUGCCAGUAGUAGGCAGUCUUUUGGAGCCAAUGCCCACAAUGCCUCCUUGUUUGAAUCGAACGGCGAAAACUCACCUGUCGUCGCGUGGGCCGUAAUGAGGUUCAUUAAGUAUUUCCCCGUAGCUUCCGUGAACUGGGGCCGUCUCAUUUUCUUCAGUUCGUUACCCCUACUACGUGCCUGGCCGUCGUUCCUUGGGUAGCAAAGUUUCAGUGCUUCCAAGACGUCUUCAAGUGCGGCUGAAGGUUCAAACCUGCACUUGAUAAAUUCGCGGCCGUCAAGUGGAAGCUGCCGUACUAGGGCCUUCGUCCAGUCUCUCUUCGGUACCUUGCUCGCCUUCAGCCACGUUUUGAACUCCUCCACGUAGUCUUCGAUAUCUCCCUCCUCCGGGUUGAAACAAGGCGUCCCUCCGUAGCCGAUACUUAUGUUUGCGGCUUGAGGUGCUGGGCCGACACUGCUCUCCACCAUGUGAUGAGGCUGAAGUGGGGAUGUAAAUCUCAGUUUAUUUGAUGGUGGUAGGGCGUUGUCCUGGUGGGCUAUGGUCACCAGGGUCCGUUCCAAGGCUGGGUUCGGGGUCCAGUUGCGGAGGGUCGUUCUCCGUUGCUCGUCGGUGUAGUCGUAGGCGUUGUUGUUACCUCCAGCUCCUUGGGGAGUUUCUGGAUCUGAUUGACAUAAGGUUUGAGAAAAGCUGGCUGCUUUGUACGUACCAUGGUCUCUGGAUGGCUUAGUUGCAUUCUGUCGAGGAUUCUUUUCAAGUAUCUGUUGUUGGAUUGGACUUUGUUGUUGUUUUUGUUUAGUAAAGUUCUUAAAAAGCUAGCAGCUUUGUAUGUACCAUGGUAUAUCCAGGUCUCUGGAUGGCUUAGUUGCAUUCUGUCGAGGAUGCUUUUGAAGUAUCUGUUGUUGGGUUAGACCUUGUUGUUGUACUUGUUUAGCAAAGUUUCUGAAAAAGCUGGCAACUUUGUAUGUACCAUGGUAUAUCCAUGUCUCUGGAUGGCUUAGUUGCAUUCUGUCAAGGAUGUUUUUAAGUAUCUGUUGUUGGGUUAGACCUUGUUGUACUUGUUUAGCAAAGUUUCUGAAAAAGCUGGCAACUUUGUAUGUACCAUGGUAUAUUCAGGUCUCUGGAUGGCUUAGUUGCAUUCUGUCGAGGAUGCUUUUGAAGUAUCUGUUGUUGGGUUAGACCUUGUUGUUGUACUUGUUUAGCAAAGUUUCUGAAAAAGCUGGCAACUUUGUAUGUACCAUGGUAUAUCCAGGUCUCUGGAUGGCUUAGUUGGAUUAGAUGUGUUCUGAAGAAGGCUUGUACCGGGUUGUUGACAGUUCCGCUCUCUUUCUUUCUGCUUGUUGUUGCUCAUCCUGUCGACUCCUGAGAGAAAGUGUAAUUCAGCUGUGUUAUCCAAGUUUCUGAUGUCUUCAGUUCAUAUUCGUGACCACUCUUGUUCUCUGGUAGUUGAGUUUCCUUACGGGCUAAUUGGCCAUUUCAGGCAUGGUCUUCUAGCCCCAACCUGUUCUCAGGGAGUUCACAAUAUAUACCCUGCUAUAUAAAAACAAACGUAACUUGCCAAUAUUCUGCACACACUGGGGUUAAUUGACUCUACGCCAAUUAACCACUCAGAGCCAAAGUUGAGAUUCAAAACAAUUUCAUUUAUUCUAUACAGAAUGGUCAAACAGAAAAGAAAAAAGGCAAUGAGAAUAAAAUGGGCAAAAUAUAAUUAACCUGUUAUAAAAAAUAUUAUAAGAAGUUACUUAUCUUUUUGGUUGCCUCAGUUGGAGGGCUAGUAUGGAAAUUUUAUUCACUAAAAUUUUAAAACUACAUUUUUGGAUGAUUUUCUUAAAAUUGUCCCUAAUCUAAAAAAGAAAAAAUACUAUCCAGAUCUUUUUGUUUGAGAAUAAAUCUGGAGGCGGGGAUGGGGGGACUUCCAUUUUAAAAGGAAGGGAAGAGGAAAGUCUGUAAAGUGUGGAUAAGAGUUUGAUCAUAAGGUCCAAAAAGAACACCCACAUAAGAGCGAAGUAUGCAAUAGUUGUUUAUCUUUAAACACAUAUCCAUAAUAAAUGUAUGUCUGGAACUGUUGAAUGAUGCAAUUAUUUGUUACAAUCUGUCAUCACUAUUAAUAUAUGAAAGCUUAUAUUUGAAUCAUUUUUAAAGGGUAAAAUUAGUACUGUUAUGCUUAUCAUCUAAAUGUGAAAUGUAAUCUAUAUGUAAUCUGAUUAAACUGGAAUUAGUUCAAUAAGUAUAUUGUAAAUGAAGAUGCUCUACAUAAUUUUUAUUUUAGUUUAUAAUAUAAAUUGAGAGAUUAUAAGACCAUUGUUAAAUAUUGAUUUUUUAAUGCAAAUUUACUUGUUUAUAUAUUUGUGUUUGUGUAUAUAUGUAAAUAUAUAUAUAUUUAUGAUGUAAAUCUCCUAACCAAAUGUAUCUUGAAUAUUUUGUAUAAUAAAUAUGUUUACACUUUUAUGUCUGUAUUUAUUUAUUUAUUUAUUUAUUUAUUUAUUUAUUUAUUUAUCUAUUUAUUUAUUUAUCUAUUUAUUUACAUAACAGCAAAGGGCAUACAUUCAAUGAUCAAUAUCUCAAGAUGGUGUGAAAAUCCUUCAAUUGACAGGAUAUUCUGCCACAUAUAGUUUAAAAAUCAAAUAGCCUUUUUGGUCAAAUUUUGUAGUAAGCGACUGCUUUUACUCUAAGUGCACCACAUGUCUACACAGGUGAAAAGCAGCUCGACUUUUAAAUUUACAAGUGUGCCAAUCCCUGUUUGAUUACUUGCACUCGCUGGUGGGGUUAGAUUUUUGCAAGAAUCAGGGGCCAUUGUAACAUUUUAUUUUUUUUAAUUUGAAAAACGUGCUCAAUGCAGGAUUCAAUUCCGGGUCGUAGAGGUUGAAAACCAAACACUGACGCUCUGGAAAUAUAUUACUGGUGUGCCCUGUGCUACACAGCAUCUACCACUGAAAAAAAUAUUGGGUGGAGUACAACUCUGGUUUUUACAGGAUAGCGGCUCAUAGAAUUGGAUCACUCUUAUGGAAUAUUCACACAGUGUAUGGAAGUUUCCUGUGGUUUUACAGCUAUUGGUCUACAAAACAUAAUGACAGGAAUUGAAGUCAGUUUAAAAGGCUUAUAUGCUGUUUUGUCAUACGUCUUUAUGUCAU